CUCAUUACUCACCCAAGCGCCAUUCCCUCCGUUGUGUAAAACCCUAAAGUCCUAAACCUCGCCGUCGCAGCCGUGCACCGCCAUGGCGGCAUCCCCGGCCCCUCCCGGCCCCACCUUCCUCCGCGAGGUCGAGCUCCGCCUCCUCCGCUGCACGCUCCCCUCCCCGGCCACCCUGCCUCCCCCGCCCUCGCCUCCCCCUCGCCACCCGCUCGCCCCGGUCGCCGCCUCCGCCGUCGCCGCCGUCGACGCCGGCGACUACGCGGCCGCCCUCGCCUCCGCCGCCCCGCACCUCCUCCCUCCCACCGCCCCCGCCGCGCCGGGGUCCGCGGCGCGGUUCUACGGCGACCUCGCCGCCGCCGCCGAGGGGUUCCUGCGCGGGGACGACGGCGGGGCGGCGGCGGCUGGCGAGGGGUUCGAGUGCAGGUGCGCCGUCGUUCUGUCGGCGGCGGUGGCCGCGAUUCUCGCGUUCACGCAGCAGAACGUGACGGGGCCUCCAGGGAAGUAUUCCCCUUUCCCUUUCUGGACUUCAUCAUUGGAUGAAGGAUGUUAUAGUAAUCUUGAAGAUGAAUGGGAUGCAUGGGCUUCUGCUCAGUUAGCUUCUAUUGGUUCCCAUGUUCAUGGGAAAUUCUCACUUAUGCAGUUCAUUGUCUUUGCAGAACUUAUGUUAACUUCUAUAAAGAGUCUGGACCCCACAGAUUGUUGUAGUGUGUCAUGGUGGUUGUGUAGAUUAUCUAUGGUCCGACAGAACAUUGUAGACGAGUUAUCAUCCACUUUGUUUGAUCAAGUACAAGAGUACAAGAAUAAGACAUUGGCCCACUUUGGUGAACUUGAAAAUGUUUUUAGCUACUGGGGUCCUUUGUUGUGUGAUGGAGAAGGCUCAUAUUUUGUCUCAGCUGCUUUCUUAGAAGCUGGAAUUGCGGAAUAUAAAUAUGGCAGAAUUGAUCAAUCAAGGCUGCAUCUGGAUAGUGCUCAAGAAGCAUGUGGGCUGCAUCUCUCUCUCACAGGGAUGCUUGGUUUUCGAACAAUACAUCAGGUGGAUGCAAAGUCCCAAAUGGUACUUGUUGCAAACACAAGUGGACCAGCAUCUGGUGAGGGACAAGUAACAGAACUCACAGGAACUCAGGAUGAUGCUGCUGCUUUAAAAAAUGCAAGGAGUUCCGUUCCUGGUGAAAGUGAUGAAUUUUGUGAUAUACUAAGAAUGCCAAGGCUGGUUGAAAAUGAUAAUGAUUCGGGUAAUGACGAGAAGAAAGAUCCAAGCAAAAAGGCAGUACUGACGGCUAUGCAACAAGCUGCUGUCCUAGCAGAAUGUUUGCAUGUGAGCCGAAGGAGUCGGCAUGAUGAAAUGUCUGGGUGGGAGAUGGCACCGUUCAUAGAGUCAAUUGAUUCUCAGGAGGAUUCCUACUUUGUGGUCAGGAGCUUGUGUGAUAUUCUGCGUAUUAGAUGGGAGUCCACCCGCAAUCGGACUAAGCAGAGGGCGCUAUUGAUGAUGGAAAAUAUGGUUGAAGAUGUUGGCAAUGAUUUCCCUGUGGCUGCACAGAGAGCCAAACUGGUUUUUGGAGUUCAGAUGCCAACUAUCCCUGCAUUAAGAAAAGAAUAUGGUGAGCUUUUGAUAAGCUGUGGUAUAGUUGGAGAAGCACUGGAUAUUUUUAAAGACCUUGAAUUGUGGGAUAAUUUAAUCUACUGCUAUCGAUUAUUAGGUAAAGUUGCUGAUGCCACUAGUCUAAUAAAUGCUCGAAUCUCUGUUACACCCAAUGACCCGAGAUUAUGGUGUUCACUUGGCGAUGUUACUAACAAUGAUGAUCAUUACAAAAAAGCAUUGGAAGUCUCAAAUAACAAAUCUGCUCGAGCUCUGCGUUCACUGGCUCGCAGUGCUUACAACAGGAAUGAUUUCCAUGCAUCCAAAAUGCUCUGGGAAUCUGCAUUGGCGUUGAAUUCUUUGUUUCCAGAUGGCUGGUUUGCAUACGGUACAGUGGCAUGGAAGGAUAAAGAUCUUGAGAAAGCUGUGGACGCUUUUACUCGUUCUGUGCAGAUAGAUCCUGAAAAUGGAGAAGCAUGGAACAACAUAGCCUGCCUGCACAUGAUUAGAGGAAGGAGCCAAGCAGCAGUCCAAGCAUUCAAAGAAGCUGUAAAGUUCAAGAGGAAUAGUUGGGAGGUUUGGGAUAAUUACAGUAAGGUUCUUUUGGACACAGGAAGUAUUCAACAGACACUAGAGGCUGUCAAAAUGGUACUAAACCUAUCCUCGAACAAACGUUUCAACAUUGAUUUGUUGGAAAAGGUGAUGGCCAUGCUUGAAGAACAACCUACACAUCUCUCUGAUACUCAAGAAGCUGAAUCUUCCAGAAGCACCUCAGAUGAUGCAAAUCAAGAGACCAGGAAGUACAACCAGUUGUUAGAUAUAAUUGGUGAUAUCCUUCAGCAGAUUGUACGAAGUGGGGGUAGCAAUUCGGAGAUAUGGGGUUUAUAUGCGAGGUGGCAUAAGACGAAGGGUAACCUUAUCGCAUGCUCUGAAGCUAUGUUGAAGCAAGUUCGGUCUCUCCAGGGUUCUGGACUAUGGCAUGACCAGACGAAGUUCACUAAGUAUGCUCAAGCUUCCCUGCAGCUUUGCAAGAUCUAUAUGGAAAUUUCUUCUUCGACUGGAAGCCAAAGAGAGUUAUUUUCAGCUGAGAUGCACCUUAAAAGCUCCUUAAAACAGGCUUCAGACUUCUUACAUACCCCUGAGUAUAAAGCUCUCGAUGACUGCCUUGCAGAAAUAAAAAACCUUAUUGGCCCUGCCUAGAGUUAUUAAGAUCUCGUCGUGAAUCAAGAUCACCUCGUCAGAAUAUUCCUGAGUUCCCAUUGAAGAAAUGACGACAAGCAUCAUCACGGGAGACGGUUCUUAACACAUGCAACUUAAAAGUUAUACUCCUGUGCCAGGAAACCAUGGUGGAAGAGUACCUGUUGUAAUCUUAAUAUGUAAUUUUAGCAGCAUAUGUGGUCAUAUGAGGAAGAAGCCAUCUGAUAUGCUGGGAACAUUUAUUUUACUACCCUGGUUUCGAAGUCAAGCUAAGCGACAUCAAAUUCAAACAACCUAUGGCCAUCUGAUGACUCAUACUGGUGUCUCCCUUGCAGCAUGCCUUAUGGUGUCCACUGUGGCAUACUCUGAUACCCAAGCCCUGUCUUGUUUUUCUGUCACCUUGGUCUGCCUACUUUGAGUUUGAGAAAGAUAACCGAGGGCACGUAGCAUAGAAA